UAUUGAGAAACGAUUUGCCUAUAGUUUCCUCCAACAACUCAUUCGCUAUGUGGAUGAAGCCCAUCAAUAUAUCCUGGAGUUUGGUCGUUCUUCCUUUAAUUGAUCAGUAUUUCAAAAACCAUCGUUUAUACUUCUUAUCUGCAGCAAGCAGACCUCUCUGCUCUGGAGGACAUGCUUCCAACAAAGAGAAAGAAAUGGUGACUAGGCAACGAUGCAACAUCAAUUGUCAACUGUCUUCAUAUUUUGGGUCAGACUUUGGAUGCAAGGACAGUGAUGAAGACUGGCCUGGAGAGUGUUAAAAGUGCACUCAGAGCUUUUCUGGACAACGCCGCAGAGGAUCUGGAGAAGACCAUGGAAAACCUCAAGCAGGGCCAGUUCACUCACACCCGAAACCAGCCCAAAGGGGUUACUCAGAUUAUCAAUUACACCACAGUGGCCCUGCUGCCAAUGCUGUCAUCAUUAUUUGAACAUAUUGGCCAGCAUCAGUUCGGAGAAGACCUAAUAUUGGAAGAUGUCCAGGUGUCUUGUUAUAGAAUUCUGACUAGCUUAUAUGCUUUGGGAACCAGCAAGAGUAUUUACGUGGAGAGGCAACGUUCUGCAUUAGGAGAAUGUCUAGCUGCCUUUGCGGGUGCCUUUCCUGUAGCAUUUUUGGAAACUCAUCUGGACAAACAUAAUAUUUACUCCAUCUACAAUACCAAGUCUUCACGAGAAAGAGCAGCUCUCAGUUUGCCAACUAAUGUGGAAGAUGUUUGUCCAAACAUACCAUCUUUGGAGAAACUCAUGGAAGAAAUCGUGGAAUUAGCUGAGUCCGGCAUUCGCUACACUCAAAUGCCACAUGUCAUGGAAGUCAUACUGCCCAUGCUUUGCAGCUACAUGUCUCGUUGGUGGGAGCAUGGACCUGAGAACAAUCCAGAACGGGCCGAGAUGUGCUGCACAGCCCUGAACUCAGAGCACAUGAACACACUUCUAGGGAACAUAUUGAAAAUCAUAUAUAAUAACUUGGGGAUUGAUGAGGGAGCCUGGAUGAAGAGGCUAGCAGUGUUUUCCCAGCCUAUAAUAAAUAAAGUGAAACCUCAGCUCUUGAAAACUCAUUUCUUGCCAUUAAUGGAGAAACUCAAGAAAAAGGCAGCUAUGGUGGUGUCUGAGGAAGACCACCUGAAAGCUGAGGCCAGGGGGGACAUGUCAGAGGCGGAACUCCUCAUCCUAGAUGAGUUCACCACGCUGGCCAGAGAUCUCUAUGCCUUCUACCCCCUCUUGAUUAGAUUUGUGGACUAUAACAGGGCAAAGUGGCUAAAGGAGCCUAACCCAGAAGCAGAGGAGCUCUUCCGCAUGGUGGCCGAAGUGUUUAUCUACUGGUCGAAGUCCCAUAAUUUCAAAAGAGAAGAGCAGAACUUCGUUGUACAGAAUGAAAUCAACAAUAUGUCUUUCCUUAUUACUGAUACCAAGUCAAAGAUGUCAAAGGCAGCUGUUUCUGAUCAGGAAAGGAAGAAAAUGAAGCGCAAAGGAGAUCGGUAUUCCAUGCAGACCUCUCUGAUUGUAGCAGCUCUGAAGCGGUUACUGCCCAUUGGGUUGAACAUCUGUGCCCCUGGGGACCAGGAGCUCAUUGCUCUGGCCAAAAAUCGAUUUAGCCUGAAAGAUACUGAGGAUGAAGUACGAGAUAUAAUCCGCAGCAAUAUUCAUUUACAAGGCAAGUUGGAGGAUCCUGCUAUUAGAUGGCAAAUGGCUCUUUACAAAGACUUACCAAACAGGACUGAUGAUACCUCAGAUCCAGAGAAGACGGUAGAAAGGGUAUUGGAUAUAGCAAAUGUGCUUUUUCAUCUUGAACAGAAGUCUAAACGUGUGGGUCGGAGACAUUACUGUCUGGUGGAACAUCCUCAGAGAUCUAAAAAGGCUGUAUGGCAUAAACUACUCUCUAAGCAGAGGAAAAGGGCUGUUGUAGCCUGCUUCCGGAUGGCCCCCUUAUAUAAUCUGCCAAGGCAUCGGGCUGUCAAUCUCUUUCUUCAGGGAUAUGAAAAGUCUUGGAUUGAAACAGAAGAACAUUACUUUGAAGAUAAACUGAUAGAAGAUUUAGCAAAACCUGGGGCUGAACCUCCAGAAGAAGAUGAAGGCACUAAGAGAGUUGAUCCUCUGCAUCAGCUGAUCCUUCUGUUUAGUCGGACAGCUUUAACAGAGAAAUGCAAAUUGGAGGAAGAUUUUUUAUAUAUGGCGUAUGCAGAUAUUAUGGCAAAGAGUUGUCAUGAUGAGGAAGAUGACGAUGGUGAAGAGGAAGUGAAGAGUUUUGAACACGAUAUUAUCAAAGAUUUAAGAAACAAAUUUGCCAGCCUCGGCGAGAACUCUCUGGAAAAAGAAAUGGAAAAGCAAAAGCUUCUAUACCAGCAAGCCCGACUCCACGAUCGUGGCGCGGCUGAGAUGGUGCUACAGACAAUCAGUGCCAGCAAAGGUGAAACUGGACCAAUGGUAGCAGCUACUCUGAAACUUGGAAUUGCUAUUUUAAAUGGUGGGAACUCCACAGUACAGCAGAAAAUGCUUGACUACCUCAAGGAGAAAAAGGAUGUGGGCUUCUUUCAGAGCCUGGCCGGCCUGAUGCAGUCAUGUAGCGUCCUUGACCUAAAUGCAUUUGAGCGACAAAACAAAGCUGAAGGUCUUGGGAUGGUGACAGAGGAAGGAUCAGGAGAAAAGGUUCUGCAGGACGAUGAGUUCACCUGUGACCUCUUCCGAUUCCUGCAACUACUCUGUGAGGGACACAGCUCAGAUUUUCAGAAUUAUCUGAGAACUCAGACUGGCAAUAAUACAACUGUCAACAUAAUUAUCUCCACUGUAGACUACCUACUGAGAGUUCAGGAAUCAAUUAGUGACUUUUAUUGGUAUUACUCUGGGAAAGAUGUUAUUGAUGAACAAGGACAACGGAAUUUCUCCAAAGCUAUCCAAGUGGCAAAACAAGUCUUUAACACUCUUACAGAGUAUAUUCAGGGUCCUUGCACUGGGAAUCAACAGAGUUUGGCACACAGCAGGUUGUGGGAUGCUGUGGUCGGCUUUCUUCAUGUGUUUGCCCAUAUGCAGAUGAAGCUGUCGCAGGAUUCCAGUCAAAUUGAGCUUUUAAAAGAAUUAAUGGAUCUGCAGAAGGAUAUGGUGGUCAUGUUGCUGUCCAUGCUAGAAGGUAAUGUUGUUAAUGGAACGAUUGGCAAACAGAUGGUGGAUAUGCUUGUGGAAUCUUCCAACAAUGUGGAGAUGAUUCUCAAGUUUUUUGACAUGUUCUUAAAACUAAAAGAUUUGACGUCGUCUGAUACUUUUAAAGAAUAUGACCCCGACGGCAAGGGAGUCAUUUCCAAGAGGGACUUCCACAAAGCGAUGGAGAGUCAUAAGCACUACACGCAGUCAGAAACGGAAUUUCUUCUGUCUUGUGCGGAGACGGAUGAGAAUGAAACCCUCGACUAUGAAGAGUUCGUCAAACGCUUCCACGAACCUGCGAAGGACAUCGGCUUCAAUGUCGCCGUCCUUCUGACAAACCUCUCUGAGCACAUGCCCAACGAUACCCGACUUCAGACUUUUCUGGAAUUAGCAGAGAGCGUCCUGAAUUAUUUCCAGCCCUUUCUGGGCCGCAUCGAAAUCAUGGGAAGCGCCAAACGCAUCGAGAGAGUCUAUUUUGAAAUCAGUGAGUCCAGCCGAACCCAGUGGGAGAAGCCCCAGGUCAAGGAGUCCAAAAGACAGUUCAUAUUUGAUGUGGUCAACGAAGGAGGAGAAAAAGAGAAGAUGGAACUCUUUGUGAACUUCUGCGAGGACACCAUCUUUGAAAUGCAGCUGGCGGCUCAGAUCUCAGAGUCGGAUUUGAACGAGAGGUCAGCGAAUAAGGAAGAAAGUGAGAAGGAGAGGCCAGAAGAGCAGGGGCCGAGAAUGGCUUUCUUCUCCAUUCUGACGGUCAAGUCGGCCCUGUUUGCGCUCAGGUACAAUAUCUUGACCCUUAUGCGAAUGCUCAGUCUGAAGAGCCUGAAGAAGCAGAUGAAAAAAGUCAAAAAGAUGACCGUGAAGGACAUGGUCACGGCCUUCUUUUCAUCCUACUGGAGUAUUUUUAUGACCCUCUUGCACUUCGCGGCCAGCGUUUUCAGAGGCUUUUUCCGCAUCAUUUGCAGCCUGCUGCUUGGGGGAAGCCUGGUCGAAGGUGCUAAAAAGAUCAAAGUUGCAGAACUGUUAGCCAACAUGCCAGACCCCACUCAGGAUGAGGUUAGAGGAGAUGGGGAGGAGGGAGAGAGGAAACCCCUGGAAGCCGCCCUGCCCUCGGAGGAUCUGACCGACUUAAAGGAGCUGACAGAAGAAAGUGACCUUCUUUCGGACAUCUUUGGCCUGGAUCUGAAGAGAGAAGGAGGACAGUACAAACUAAUUCCUCAUAAUCCAAAUGCUGGGCUCAGUGACCUCAUGAGCAACCCAGUCCCCAUGCCUGAAGUGCAAGAAAAAUUUCAGGAACAGAAGGCAAAAGAAGAAGACAAGGAAGAAAAAGAAGAAACCAAAUCUGAACCUGAAAAAGCCGA
rnacentral:sRNA from 1 species